CCCCACUGCGAUGUCAGGAGGACCUGCCCAGCAAAGCUGACCCUGCAAAAGGCCAGAAGUCUUGGACCCCGGCACUGGGAGGGGAGAAAGCUGGUCUCCUGUCUGGACACCCGGAGUCUCUUCUCCUCGGUGUGCAGGCAAAAGCUUUAAUAAAGGAAUGGGUCUACUGCAACAAAGGAAACAAGAGCAAAAAUAGAGACAAGGACACAUCCUAACUCCAUUAAUAUCAGUGGGAAUCUGCCUUCAUCUUCAGUGGGAACAGAACUUCAAAGACACAGGAAUCACCCAUAGAACCUGAAGGAGUUUCACAUCCUUGGCUUGACCACAGUCUUUCUCCCAGCGCUGCCAGAGUGGCUGUUGGUGUGUGGGCAGCUUUGCCAGAAGAACCUCUCUGAGGCAGGACCAUGCAGGAGCUGGGCAGAGAAGAACCUCCUCUUGGGCUGCAUAACAAGACACAGUACCAAGUCACUGUAUGAUGACGUGCAUAAUGUACAACCGGAGAGGCUGUUACACUCUUGAUGGUGCCCUCAUUUUAAAAAAUCAGCAUGUAUGUAAUCAACGAAAUGAGGAAUGAAGUAUGUGAUUUGGCUGCUUUGAAAAUCAUAUA